CACCCCGGCCCCCCACAAAAAAAACUUUUUUGUUUAUUUUAUUGACGAAAUCAUGUUUUGUUUAGAUAUUUCAGUCUGCGAUCCGGCUUCCCCUCUUUUAUCCCUUCCUUGCUGGAAUCCUCAAUCUCCUUCUAACUGUCGUGCUUGGAAGAAAAGAUGGGUUCACGAGCCAAUAGAAUCAAGCAAAAACUGCAAUCUGCCUUGGAAGCCAGUACUUUAGAAAUUCAAGAUGUUUCUUAUCAGCAUGCUGGUCAUGCGGGUGUCAAAGGAGAUGCAAAUGAGACCCAUUUUAACAUCAAAGUGGUUUCUCCAAAGUUUACCGGGCAGAGCCUUAUAAAACGCCACCGAAUGGUAUAUGAUCUGUUAGCUGAUGAGCUGAAAUCUGGACUCCAUGCUGUUUCAAUUGUUGCAAAAACCCCAGAAGAAUCAGGAUAUGCUAAUAUCUAAUGUUGCAUGUUUUAAAUCAGGGAUCUGAAAGGAGUAAGUUUUGGAUGUUAUUAUUUAUAUCCAUGAGCUGAACACUCCACAAUUUAAAUUAAGAUUGUGCUCUACGUGUUAAAUGCUUUAUUAGAACUUCCUCUUGAUCUA